GUGGUUCUUUCCGAUUCCAAUUCAAAUGGCGAACCAAAUAGAAUGAGAUUGAAUCAUUCCAAUUUCACUUCCAGCUUAUUCGCAUUCCAAUUUUGAUACCGAUUACGACUUUGAACCAAAUACACCCUUAUAGUCUAAAUGAAAGAAAAAAAUUAAAAUGAAAAUUUUUUAAAAAUGACCUACUUCUAGUUGGCCCCACACAUCCCCAACCCCACAGUUCGUUCCCCCUCCUGCUCCCGCUCUGCCCGCUACAUAGCUUCCAACUCUGUAGUGUUCUAGAGCUUUGGAUAGGAUUGACUUCAGUAUUAGUGACUGGUCAGCACAUCUGGAGAGUGUCGGACUGAGUCGGAGUUAAUUCUACACGAAAUGGAUGCAGAAAUAGACUCGACGCACUCAAAUAAGCAAAACUGGAGUUUUGCCAGAUUCGUGCGCCCAGAACAGGGUUUGGGCCGCCCAGAAGUUGAGUGCAGAACUGAGCAGAACUGGAAGCCAAUUCGGAUCCGUGUUUCGGGCGCCCGGAUGUGGGUCCGAAAAUCCACUUUGGAAGUAUCGUUUGCGCUGACACGUGGCUGGUGGUUGGUGAGGUUCGCUGGAGCAGGUUAUGGGCGCAGCACACCGCUGGCGAAGGACCCGAAGGUGAGCAAGUGUGUAGUCUGGAGGUUUCGGACACCCAGAGAAGGGUUUUGGGCGCCCGAAAGUGCCCGUUUCUGCAGAAUUGCAGGUUUGCAGCUGUUGUUCCUGAGGCUUAUUAGACCGUUCUAACACCCUAUAAAUAGGUAGUGUUCGACCACAAUGAGCUCUUUUCAUCUGUUCUUCACAGAAAAGUUCACUUUAACAUCUUAACCCUCCAAUUCACUCAAAUUGCAUCAAAGGUCCACAACUUCAGCUUGAGAAGUGCUGAUUUUGCAGUUUUCCAGCGACGACCUUCGGUGUUUUGCCUCGUGUGUGACGUAGGAAGGUCGGAUUGUGGUGAAACUUGGUUUGCUGGAUUAUAGACUUUCAGAGGAAUCCACAAAGCCUAGAAUUGCAGAUUUUGGUUGAGGUGAGCUUGGUCGAUUCCAUAUUUUUCUGGACUGCUGGUGACUUUGAGCUGAAAAUCUUUUUUUUUUCUGUUUUCUUGAUGCUAUCUUUGGAAGCAGGGGAAGUUUGGACCUAAGUUAGAUAACUUAGUAUACUUCACUGGAUUUGAGACCCUCCUCACCAGAUUUGGAUGUGAUUAGGUGAGUUUGGACAUUGGAGUUGGGUUAAUUUAAGCUUAAGUGCUAAAUUAUUGGAUUUUUGUCGAUUUCGACGCUAGAUCCUUCAAGUAUUCCAGUUGUUGAUUUGGUGUGAUUUCGGCUGAGUCUCAUAGCAGUUCCGAGACCUCCUUGCUGCCAGGAAAGAGCAUUUGAGAGCCUUCUGUUCCGGCUGCUGCUUCUACCGAGACUGAUCGUUGCAAGGGCGUUGUGAGUUAGAACCCUUCAAGACGAGUAGCAGAGCUAGAGGAGCACCAGCUACAAGUAGUUGUAGUUUUUGGGUCUUUACAUACAGUUGUUGUAUCUUGCCAGAGCGAGUUUUUGUAUACCCUGGAUGACAUAGCCUUCCACGCCGGGAGAGGCUAGGGACCGAGG